GUGCUCGCCCCAACGGCACAUACACGAGAAAGUUAGCAUGGCUCCUGCACAAGGCUGACACACAAAUUCGCGAAGCGUUCCAUAUUUUU
rnacentral:snRNA from 14 species